GCUGCCUUCUGGUCAAGAUGUAGCCGGGACCACAUCUGUCUGCACACUGCCAUGCUCCUCGUCAUGAUGAUAAUGGACUGAACCUCUGAAAUUUUUGGCUCUUUUAAUUGGUUUAUUGAGAAUGGGCAGCCAGACCCCUACUUGGCACCGUUUGUGACCCUCAAGCUUGAUAACAUAGCACCUUCUUAGCACAGCUAUGUCAGAAUCCAGGAAACAAAGCAGUCCAUGAAAACGGGAAGAAACACACUUAUUUGGCCAGUACCUCCGUAUAAGGGCCAAGGACCUUCCUCAGCGGUGCUCUUGGUGAAGGGUUAAAGAACUAAAAACUACAGAUGGGCUGAGAAACUGGACUUGACUGAUAACACCCUCCGCUGAUGUUUACGUUGAGCCUUCGGGGACUCUCCCACCCUGAAAGUUCCCUUUUCUGCUUUAUCAAGACCAAAGUCCCCGGCUUCCUGGUGCAGACUCCACUGUAGCAGAGAGGAUGCUGCCCCUUCAUAGUUCCGAAUAAAGGACAACCUGCUUCUAGGGA